GAGUUUGAUCCUGGCUCAUGAUGAACGCUAGCUACAGGCUUAACACAUGCAAGUCGAGGGGCAGCAUGGUCUUAGCUUGCUAAGGCCGAUGGCGACCGGCGCACGGGUGAGUAACACGUAUCCAACCUGCCGUCUACUCUUGGACAGCCUUCUGAAAGGAAGAUUAAUACAAGAUGGCAUCAUGAGUCCGCAUGUUCACAUGAUUAAAGGUAUUCCGGUAGACGAUGGGGAUGCGUUCCAUUAGAUAGUAGGCGGGGUAACGGCCCACCUAGUCUUCGAUGGAUAGGGGUUCUGAGAGGAAGGUCCCCCACAUGGGAACUGAGACACGGUCCAAACUCCUACGGGAGGCAGCAGUGAGGAAUAUUGGUCAAUGGGCGAGAGCUUGAACCAGCCAAGUAGCGUGAAGGAUGACUGCCCUAUGGGUUGUAAACUUCUUUUAUAAAGGAAUAAAGUCGGGUAUGCAUACCCGUUUGCAUGUACUUUAUGAAUAAGGAUCGGCUAACUCCGUGCCAGCAGCCGCGGUAAUACGGAGGAUCCGAGCGUUAUCCGGAUUUAUGGGGUUUAAAGGGAGCGUACAUGGAUGUUUAAGUCAGUUGUGAAAGUUUGCGGCUCAACCGUAAAAUUGCACUUGAUACUGGAUAUCUUGAGUGCAGUUGAGGCANGCGGAAUUCGUGGUGUAGCGGUGAAAUGCUUAGAUAUCACGAAGAACUCCGAUUGCGAAGGCAGCCUGCUAAGCUGCAACUGACAUUGAGGCUCGAAAGUGUGGGUAUCAAACAGGAUUAGAUACCCUGGUAGUCCACACGGUAAACGAUGAAUACUCGCUGUUUGCGAUAUACGGCAAGCGGCCAAGCGAAAGCGUUAAGUAUUCCACCUGGGGAGUACGCCGGCAACGGUGAAACUCAAAGGAAUUGACGGGGGCCCGCACAAGCGGAGGAACAUGUGGUUUAAUUCGAUGAUACGCGAGGAACCUUACCCGGGCUUAAAUUGCAGAUGAAUUACGGUGAAAGCCGUAAGCCGCAAGGCAUCUGUGAAGGUGCUGCAUGGUUGUCGUCAGCUCGUGCCGUGAGGUGUCGGCUUAAGUGCCAUAACGAGCGCAACCCUUGUUGUCAGUUACUAACAGGUUCCGCUGAGGACUCUGACAAGACUGCCAUCGUAAGAUGUGAGGAAGGUGGGGAUGACGUCAAAUCAGCACGGCCCUUACGUCCGGGGCUACACACGUGUUACAAUGGGGGGUACAGAGGGCCGCUACCACGCGAGUGGAUGCCAAUCCCAAAAACCUCUCUCAGUUCGGACUGGAGUCUGCAACCCGACUUCACGAAGCUGGAUUCGCUAGUAAUCGCGCAUCAGCCACGGCGCGGUGAAUAAGUUCCCGGGCCUUGACACACCGCCCGUC
rnacentral:rRNA from 1 species